GAAAAUGAUGGAUGUAAUAGCUGAUUUAUUUUCAGCUUUUGACUUGUAUUAUUUUAGUUGGCAACUUGCCAAAUUUGGUGGGAGUAGUUACGUUUAGGUAACUGACUUGCUUUUGUAUCUCCUUUAUAUUUUGAAAUGGAAAUGGAAUGAAAGCUGAUGGGGGACUUUUCUCAUUCGGUUACUUGCUGCUUCUCUUUGGAUUUUCAUUUUGUUCUUUUGUUUUGUUUUGUUUCCUGUUUUUCAUGAGCUUAUGCUCUUUGUUGUUCAUUGUUGCUGCUGCCUUUUUUCUAACAAAUGGUAAUCAGAGCCUCUUGUCUAUGAGGACCUCUGUUGUUUAAGUUUUUUUUGUUUCAAAAUAAACUCAAAAAUCGUGUUUGUCAAACCAGUUUCAGCAACAUGAGCUUUGCACCUCCUCCACCACCAAUUUUUGCUGGAGAAAACUACCACAUUUGGGUAGUUAAAAUGAAAACUUACCUCCAAGCACUUGAUCUGUGGAGUGCAGUUGAAAAUGAUGUCGAGCCACCACCACUAAGAGCAAAUCCAACCAUUGCUCAGAUCAGGCAACAUGGUGAGGAGUGAGCCAAGAAGCAUAAAGCCAUGGCCUGCCUACAGAAUGGAGUGUCUGAUGUGAUUUUUACUCGCAUCAUGGCCUGUGACUNNNNNNNNNNNNNNNNNNNNNNNNNNNNNNNNNNNNNNNNNNNNNNNNNNNNNNNNNNNNNNNNNNNNNNNNNNNNNNNNNNNNNNNNNNNNNNNNNNNNNNNNNNNNNNNNNNNNNNNNNNNNNNNNNNNNNNNNNNNNNNAGGAUUAUGGCUACUGCCAAUAAUAUUAGACUCCUUGGAGAAGAUUUCAGUGACAGCAGGGUUGUUGAGAAGGUUAUUACCACCUUACUUGAAAGGUUUGAGUCAAAAAUCUCCUCAUUGGAGGACUCGAGAGAUCUCACAACCAUUUCUUUGUCUGAGUUGGUUAACUCACUCUAUGCACUUGAGCAGAGAAGAGCAAGUAGGCAGGAGGAGAGUCCUGAAGGUGCUUUUCAAGCAAAGGUUAGAGAAGACUCCAGCUCAAGCCAGAAAGCUAAGAAGCCUUGGUUUGAAAAGAGGGAAAGAUCAAAGAAAGAUGCCGGUAGAAGGAGGUUUCCACCAUGCGUUCACUGCAAGAAGACUAAUCAUUUGGAGAAGUAUUGCUGGACCAGACCAGACAUACAGUGCAAAAGCUGUAAGAAGUAUGGCCAUCAUGAGAAAAUCUGUAGAAGUUAUGAGAAGGCACAAGCACAGCCAGUACAAGCCAAGUCUGCCGAGGAUGUCCAAGCUCAGGAGGAGCAUGUAUUUACAGCUUCAUGUUUUGCAGCUAACAGCAAGAGCAGUUGGCUUGUGGAUAGUGGCUGCUCACACCACAUGGCUGCAGAUGAGAGCCUUUUCAAGAAUAUUGACAGGAGCUUUGUCUCGAAGGUCAGGAUAGGCAAUGGCAACUUGAUUGAAGCAAAAGGUAGAGGUGAUGUGGUGAUUCACACUGGUUCAGGUAACAAAAUCAUUUCUGAUGUGCUCUAUGUGCCAGAAAUAGACCAAAAUUUACUCAGUGUAGGCCAACUAGUCAAGAAAGGCUUUUCACUAGUUUUCAAGAAUGAUUCUUGUGUUAUAAGUGAUGCUCAUGGUAGGGAGAUUGUCUCAGCACCUAUGAGAGACAAAUGUUUUAUGCUGGAUGUGAGUCAGCUUGAGAAAAGUGCCUAUACAAGCUCAGUUGACAAUACUGAUCUUUGGCACAAGAGGUUUGGCCAUGUUAACCUCAAAUCACUUGAUUUGCUGCACAAAAUGAACAUGACAGAGGACAUGGUGAAGGUUAGUGCAAGUGAAGGUGUUUGUGAAGUGUGUCAGCUUGGCAAGCAGGCCAGGUUGCCUUUUCCAGUAAACCAAGCAUGGAGGGCUCGAGAAAGACUUGAGUUGGUGCACUCAGAUGUCUGUGGACCAAUGAAGAUGCCUUCACUGAAUGGCAGUAAGUAUUUUAUACUGUUUAUUGAUGAUCUGACCAGAUUUUGCUGGGUUUAUUUCAUGAAACAGAAGUCAGAAGUGUUUGAAGUUUUUGGAAAGUUCAAGGCAUUAGCAGAAAAUCAAACAGGCUGCAGGAUUAAGGCCUUGAGGACAGACAAUGGUUCUGAAUACUUGUCUGAAAGAUUUCAGAAGCUAUAUGAGCAGGCUGGGAUUCAUCAUCAAUUGACCACAGUGUAUACUCCUCAGCAAAAUAGAGUAUCUGAGAGGAAGAACAGGACAGUGAUGAACAUGACCAGAUGUUUGUUGUUUCAAAGCAAGCUUCCAAGUAUUUUUUGGGCUGAAGGUGUCAACACCUCAGUGUACCUGCUCAAUAGGCUGCCAACACAUGCUGUGAAUGAUAAAACUCCUUUUGAAGCAUGGUAUGAUCUUAAACCAACUGUUUCCCAUUUAAAAGUAUUUGGUUGCAUGUGUUUUGUACUUGUCCCUGCAGAAAGAAGAACCAAGCUCGAGAAGAGGUCAGUUCCUGGUAUAUUUGUUGGCUACAGUAGCUGCAAGAAGGGCUACAGAGUAUUUGAUCCCUCAACCAAGAAGAUUUUGGUAAGCAGGUAUGUCAAAUUCGAUGAAGGAAGGUUUUGGAGUCUAGAUGGCUCUAACACAAGUCAGUUUGAAGAAGAGCAGAUUGACAGCAAUCUGGAAUUGGCAGAAAAUGAGUCAGUAAUGCCAAUGUAGAUGAUGCUCCUGUGAGAAGGACGAGGUCUAUUGCUGAUAUCUACCAAAGAUGCAAUGUGGCCAUUGUUGAGCCUUCAAGCUAUGAAGAAGCUGCAAGAAGCAAGAGCUGGAAGAAGGCUAUGGAGGCUGAAAUCGACAUGAUCCAUAAGAAUGACACUUGGGAUCUGGUAGACAGACCUGAUCAAAAGAAGGUCAUAGGUGUCAAGUGGGUUUUCAGGGCCAAGUUCAAUGCAGAUUGCUCUCUGAACAAGCACAAGGCAAGGCUUGUGGUGAAAGGGUACAAUCAACAGUUUGGCAUUGAUUUUGAGGAGACAUUUGCUCCAGUGGCAAGGCUGGAUACCAUAAAGCUUCUAUUUGCCUUCGCUGCACAGAAACAGUGGAAGGUCCAUCAGCUUGAUGUCAAGUCAGCUUUCCUGAAUGGCUUCCUUAAAGAGGAAAUUUAUGUUGAACAGCCUGAUGGAUUUAAAGUCCAAGGAAAGGAGGACAAGGUUUACAAGCUGAAGAAAGCACUCUAUGGACUAAAACAGGCUCCUCGAGCCUGGUAUGACAGGAUAGAUGCUUACCUGUCUAGGCUUAAUUUCGAGAAAAGUUUGAGUGAGCCAACUUUAUUUAUAAAGAAGUCUAAAGAUGAGACUUUGUUGAUUGUCUCAAUGUAUGUGGAUGAUCUAUUAGUGACUGGAAGCAGGGUCGAUUUGAUUCAGGAGUUCAAGAAGAAUAUGCAAGACAUGUUUGACAUGACAAACUUGGGAAUCAUGACUUACUUCCUUGGUAUGGAAGUAGACCAGUCUGAUCAAGGCAUUUUUAUCAGCCAGCAUGCAUUUGCCUUGAAAAUUCUCACUAAGUUUCAUAUGGAAAACAGCAAACCAGUGAGCACACCAUUAGCUGUGGGAGAGAAACUAAGUAGCUUUGGAAAUGAAGAAAAGGUAGAUGAAAAGGAGUAUAGAAGCUUGAUUGGCUAUUUACUUUACUUGACAGUAACCAGACCUGACCUUAUGCAUUCAGUUAGUCUACUGUCCAGAUUCAUGCACAGCUGCAAUACAACUCAUUUGAAAGCAGCAAAGAGAAUACUCAGGUAUGUCAAAGGUACUUUGAAGUUUGGUGUAAUGUUCAAGAAAGGAAAUGAGCUGAAAUUAACUGGCUACUCAGAUAGUGACUGGGGUGGAUCAGUUGAUGAUAUGAGAAGUACUUCAGGCUACUUCUUUACACUUGGUUCGGGAGUUUUCAGUUGGAGUUCAAAGAAGCAACAAACUGUUGCUCAGUCUACUGCUGAAGCCGAAUACAUAGCAGCAGCUGCAGCAGUGAAUCAAGCCAUUUGGCUUAGGAAGUUGCUAUGUGAUUUGAAUGAAGAACAGCUUGAGCCUACUGAAAUUAUGGUGGAUAACUAGUCAGCAAUUGCCAUCUCCAAAAAUCCUGUUUUUCAUGGCAAAACCAAACAUUUUAAGCUCAAGUUUUACUUUGUUCGAGAAGUUGUUCAAUCCAAAGAAGUGUGUCUAACACAUUGCAGCUCACAAGAUCAAUUGGCUGACAUUUUGACAAAGCCUCUUGGCACAAUCAGGUUUGAAUUUCUAAGGGAUUCAAUCGGUGUUUGUUGCCUACAGUCCAAGGAGGAGUGUUGAGCAUUGGCCUGCAAUGCAACAAACUUCCAACAGCAGCAUGUCUGUUUGAAGAUUGAAUCAGAAGCAACUUUUUGUUUAAAUUUUGUAUUUUUUUUUUGUGAUGUUAACAAGUUGGCAAGUUGCUUGAUAUUUAAAGCUAGUACUUUUAGAUUUGAAAAUGAUGGAUGUAAUAGCUGAUUUAUUUUCAGCUUUUGACUUGUAUUAUUUUAGUUGGCAACUUGCCAAAUUUGGUGGGAGUAGUUACGUUUAGGUAACUGACUUGCUUUUGUAUCUCCUUUAUAUUUUGAAAUGGAAAUGGAAUGAAAGCUGAUGGGGGACUUUUCUCAUUCGGUUACUUGCUGCUUCUCUUUGGAUUUUCAUUUUGUUCUUUUGUUUUGUUUUGCUUCCUGUUUUUCAUGAGCUUAUGCUCUUUGUUGUUC
rnacentral:lncRNA from 1 species